UACGGGGGGGGCAAGCGUUGUUCGGAAUUACUGGGCGUAAAGGGCGCGUAGGCGGUUCGAUAAGUCAGCUGUGAAAACCAUGGGCUUAACUCAUGGCCUGCAGUUGAGACUGUCGGGCUGGAGUGUGGGAGAGGAGAGUGGAAUUCCUGGUGUAGCGGUGAAAUGCGUAGAUAUCAGGAGGAACACCGGUGGCGAAGGCGGCUCUCUGGACCACAACUGACGCUGGAGGCGCGAAAAGCUAGGGGAGCAAACAGG
rnacentral:rRNA from 1 species